rnacentral:rRNA from 1 species
UUGAACGCUGGCGGCAGGCCUAACACAUGCAAGUCGAGCGGAUGAAGGGAGCUUGCUCCUGGAUUCAGCGGCGGACGGGUGAGUAAUGCCUAGGAAUCUGCCUGGUAGUGGGGGAUAACGUCCGGAAACGGGCGCUAAUACCGCAUACGUCCUGAGGGAGAAAGUGGGGGAUCUUCGGACCUCACGCUCUCAGAUGAGCCUAGGUCGGAUUAGCUAGUUGGUGGGGUAAAGGCCUACCAAGGCGACGAUCCGUAACUGGUCUGAGAGGAUGAUCAGUCACACUGGAACUGAGACACGGUCCAGACUCCUACGGGAGGCAGCAGUGGGGAAUAUUGGACAAAGGGCGAAAGCCUGAUCCAGCCAUGCCGCGUGUGUGAAGAAGGUCUUCGGAUUGUAAAGCACUUUAAGUUGGGAGGAAGGGCAGUAAGUUAAUACCUUGCUGUUUUGACGUUACCAACAGAAUAAGCACCGGCUAACUUCGUG